rnacentral:rRNA from 1 species
CAGAGGUCUCAAGCGUUGUUCGGAUUCAUUGGGCGUAAAGGGUGCGUAGGUGGCGGGGCAAGUCUGGUGUGAAAUCCCGGGGCUCAACCCUGGAACUGCACUGGAUACUGCCUUGCUAGAGUACUGGAGAGGGAACUGGAAUUUACGGUGUAGCAGUGAAAUGCGUAGAUAUCGUAAGGAAGACCAGUGGCGAAGGCGAGUUCCUGGACAGUUACUGACACUGAGGCACGAAGGCCAGGGGAGCAAACGGGAUUAGAUACCCCGGUAGUCCUGGCAGUAAACGGUGCGCGUUUGGUGUAGGAGGAUUCGACCCCUUCUGUGCCGGAGCUAACGCGUUAAACGCGCCGCCUGGGGAGUACGGUCGCAAGAUUA